rnacentral:rRNA from 1 species
AUGCACUGUACAGUCGGAUGCGUAUUGGCAAGGAGAAAGCAAAGUGUGGCCCACCGCUUCUCGUUUGCAGAUAGGGAGUCGCCUCGAGCCCCACCCGCACUCCUUUCUCUCCCACGCAACCUCCCCUUUCCUCAUUUUCCCUUCCCCGCCGCCCCCGUCCCCGCCCCAUCGGCGCAUUCCAGUUCCUCCGUCGCCGGCCACCGGAGAAGGCGCCUUCCUCAGAUCCGCUUCUCCCCUAAAACUUCUCAACUUUGUGUUGCACCCGUCCUCAAUGAUGGUUGUAGAGGAGGGGGCAGGGAAGUAGAUGGCGUGGCCGUCGGCCGGAGACAGAGCAGGGCCCGCUACUUCGUCGAGGAUGACGAGAUCAACAUCUACAAGACAUGGCUGUUGGCAGAGGAGGCUCGUGCAGCGCGUGGGGUGAUGGGAGCGGGAAGAAAAGAAAGAGCGGCGGCGGCAGCGAAUUUCUCCAUCUCACGGGGCCAGCCCUCCUGUCCGCGCCGCAACACCGCUGGUAUCGACGCGGUGAAAUCCUUCUCAGUAGUUCAGUUGACCGAAUGUGGUGGCCUAUCGCCGACCGUGGCGGUGGUGGAUUCCCUAAGGUGGGUAACUGAGGCAGCCACGGAGGGAGGCUUUGCUGCUGCUCCUCUUUGUGUCUGUUUAGUCUUCCUCAUUGCUUUGUCCAUGCUCAGCUUUAUAAUAAGUACACUGCAACUAUGCGUUCAGACUUCAAAUAUGUCAUGCACCAUGAGGCGGCUAGCAGGAGCCCUAAGGUCGAUGGCGCCGGGGAGGAGGCAGACUGGCAGGACGGGUACUGUCGUGCUGACUGGAGCAGCGGCCGGAAUGUGUCUCCGGCAUGAGAGGGGGCGUUAUCUCUUGGCGCGGUGGCGCGAGGCUGCAGGAGGCCAGCCCGGGUUUGCUGAGGUGAUCUCCCUGUCCUUGGACGAGGAGGUCGACAAGGACGCGGUGGUGGAACUUGUCGAGGAAGAAGAAGAACCGGCGCAAGGAGAGGAGGAAGAAGCAGCGGAAGGAAGACGCCGCUGA